rnacentral:rRNA from 1 species
AUUGAACGCUGGCGGAAUGCUUUACACAUGCAAGUCGAACGGCAGCACGGACUUCGGUCUGGUGGCGAGUGGCGAACGGGUGAGUAAUGUAUCGGAACGUGCCCAGUCGUGGGGGAUAACGUAGUGAAAAUUACGCUAAUACCGCAUACGAUCUAUGGAUGAAAGCGGGGGAUCGCAAGACCUCGUGCGAUUGGAGCGGCCGAUAUCAGAUUAGGUAGUUGGUGGGGAAAAGGCCCACCAAGCCAACGACCUGUAGCGGGUCUGAGAGGACGAACAGCCACACUGGAACUGAGGCACGGUACAGACUCCUACGGGAGGCAGCAGUGGGGAAUUUUGGACAAUGGGCGAAAGCCUGUUCCAGCCAUUCCGCGUGCAGGAUGAAGGCCCUCGGGUUGUAAACUGCUUUUGUACAGAACGAAAAGGUUUCUACUAAUACUAGGAGCUCAUGACGGUACUGUAAGAAUAAGCACCGGCUAACUACGUGCCAGCCGCCGCCGUAA